rnacentral:lncRNA from 1 species
GAACGAACAGGGAAGAAAGAAAAGAAAGAAGAAGAAGAGAAAAAAAAAGAAAAGAAAAGAAAGAAAAUGGUUUGGGCUAUUUGUUUUAGUGGGCUCGUGUUUGUUUUUAGUUGGGUUUUGACUUGGGUUUUGGUUUUCUUUUUUGGGUUUUACGCAUGGGCUUGGGAGUUGAACCCCAUGUAUUUCAGCUGGGUUUGUUUGACAAAAAGGAUGGGCUGGGCCAUUUAUUUUUCCUUUGGGUUUCGGUGGGGCUUAGGUAGUUUUUGGCCCAGAAAUAAAUAAAAUGAUGGCUCAGUGGCAGAUUUGUUAAGGA